GGUCUCUUAGCUCAGCUGGACAGAGCAACGUCGUUCUAAGUCGUUGGUCAUUGGUUCGAAUCCAAUAGGGACCA
rnacentral:tRNA from 6 species